ensembl:lncRNA
AUUACGAAGAGAUGAGCCACUCAUACAUACAUGAUGAGAGAAGAAAUUAUGUUAAAUAUGGAGUUUAGUUCCACCUUACCAAAAUUAUUUUUGGUGGCUGUAGGUCUGAACUGACGUAAAAAAAAGAUUUGUCACUUUUUGAUGUGGUAUUCAUGAUACCGCUGUUGACAGAUUUUUAUUUCUGACAUAAGUUUGACCAAAACUUGUGGAGAUUUCAAGCUCUCUUUGUUAAAGUAUAGAUGUAGCUGUGUUUGCAUCCCAGGGGCAGUGGACUGACUUGUGAAUUUAAAAGGACUCAUUAUAUUCAGGGCAUAACGCCAUUUAAUAUAAUGAAUCAUUUUAAUAUUAUUCUUAUAUAUAUAAUAAAUCCCUCUAAAUACCCCUAAAUCUUGAAUAUUUGGUUACAUUCUUGGUAAGACUGUUGUCUUUCUGUAAACUGUAUGGACUGAUUUGUGUUUCACUAACACCACAAACUGUAGGGGAUUCACUGAUCAAUGUCCUAAUUAAACACCAAGAAUAUAACGUCGGUUUUAACAAUAAUAAAUGACAUUUUAAAAUACAUACAUACAUGAUGGAUUUUCUACAUUAUUUUGAAUAAUCCACUAAUUCCUUUAGGAUUUGCACACAGAGAAUAGGCUAUGUAUUCGGUUACUGGAGUCAAACAAUACUGUAGACGAAAAUUAGCCAUGAUUUUAUUGUAGUAAAAGUGUAGUAACCAUGUUUUUUGGCGUAGGCUAUUGAUUACCAUUUGUAUAAGCAUAGUUUUACUUAAAUGCCACGGUUAAACUAUGGUUAGUGUAGCAAAACCAUGGUUAAUUAUUGGUUACCAUGGGUUAACUAUAGCAACCGUGUUUUUUGGUUUAAUAUGUAGUAAAAUCCGUGAUUUUCCAUCGCCUUGAUUCCGCCCAUAUCAUCGGGGUGUCCGCCUUGUUCGAGGGGCUGGUCGAAGAGGUCCGAUGCGUCACGUUUAUUUGGGCCUUCUGCACCCACUGGCGGGGAAGCGCCCGAUUUUUUUUUUCUCCCUGCCUUAAAACGUCCUGUAUAUAUUUAUUCAAAGCGUGGAUCUUCGGGAAAACAAGGCAUCGAAGGAAAAACGCGACGCAAAGUAUGCAUUUGGAGACAAUUCUUUGUAGUUUACUAGAGAAAAUUUCAGAUGCCCCCCGCUCACACCAUGAGCAAGCUUACCCAAAAAUCUUGAACCUCUCCACAAGACAAUUUUAGUAUCAUUUGUUACCUUUCUAAUGAACUGACUGUCACUUGUUGGAACAUUUUUGUGCAAUCAGGUCCAAAAUUGCUGAUC